rnacentral:rRNA from 2 species
GGUAAACUAAAUGGCCGCGGAAUUUUAACCGUGCUAAGGUAGCAUAAUCAUUUGUUUUUUAAUUGAAAACUUGUAUGAAUGGUUUAACGAAAUUUAGCUGUCUAUAUUUAUAAUAAAUAAAAAUUAAUUUUAAAGUUAAAAAGCUUUAAUUAUAUAAAAAGACAAAAAGACCCUAUAGAGUUUUAUUUUUUACUUAUAUAGUAUAAGUAAAAAAUUUAGUUGGGGUAACUAAAGAAAAAUAAAUUUUCUUUUAAAUAAAAAUUUAUUAUAUCAUUUUUUAAAUAAAGUAAAAUAAAUUACCUUAGGGGUAACAGCGUAAGUUUUUUUGAGAGUUCAAAUCGAAAAAAAAAAUUAC